rnacentral:rRNA from 1 species
CAUUUAAAGAAAGCGUAAUAGCUCACUGGUCGAGUCGGCCUGCGCGGAAGAUGUAACGGGGCUAAACCAUGCACCGAAGCUGCGGCAGCGAACGUAUCACUUAAAGCGAUUCAGCGGGUUACGAUUGACGGAGCGAAGCGACGUCAAAGCGUAUACAAAGUCGAGUCGGUUUAAGGAUACGUUCGUUGGGUAGGGGAGCGUUCUGUAAGCCUGCGAAGGUGGCCUGUGAGGGUUGCUGGAGGUAUCAGAAGUGCGAAUGCUGACAUAAGUAACGAUAAAGCGGGUGAAAAGCCCGCUCGCCGGAAGACCAAGGGUUCCUGUCCAACGUUAAUCGGGGCAGGGUGAGUCGACCCCUAAGGCGAGGCCGAAAGGCGUAGUCGAUGGGAAACGGGUUAAUAUUCCCGUACUUGGUGUUACUGCGAAGGGGGGACGGAGAAGGCUAUGUUGGCCGGGCGACGGUUGUCCCGGUUUAAGCGUGUAGGUGUGUGUUCCAGGUAAAUCCGGUUCACUUUAACACUGAGGCGUGACGACGAGGCACUACGGUGCUGAAGCAACAAAUGCCCUGCUUCCAGGAAAAGCCUCUAAGCAUCAGGUAACAUCAAAUCGUACCCCAAACCGA